CUCUUGUCUUGUUUGUGGAGAGGGAUGAAUUUGGCCAUCUUGUGUGUUUAUGGAGAAGACCAAAAGCUGCAAAGGCAAACAUUUCCAAUGGUACAAACAGAGAGUUCGCAUGAUGGCCUUUUUCAGUUUUGUCAACUGAACGGCUGCUAGUGAGGGUCAGCGAGUUCUUGUCAUGAUGAGCCCUCGCCAGCCAAAAUGGAAGACCAAAAACACAAAGAAAAUCAAUCACAGCAAGCCAGUCAAACCAGUCCUGUUGGGAAUGAACAUAGUCUUCUUGUGCCCAAACAGAGAAGACAGAGAACUGAAAAUUUGCACAUUUCCAUUGCUCCUAGAAUGAGCAAAUCAGCUGUGCAUCAUCUCUGGAAUUUGGGAAGGAAAUGAACGAAUAUGGAGGAUGAAGCCAGUUGAUGAAGAUAUCAAUUCAGUGGCCACCAAGUGCUGCACUGCUGCCUGAACCCAUCAGAUAUCUGCUGUGAAGACUGCAUUCACGAACAGCUCUACUGCGACAGCUCAGAUGUUACGGCCCAUAAAAGAAACUUACCAACUGAACAACUGCAAGAUAGUGGUAGCCCAUAGUGAUAGCCCAUACCUCCAACAACAUUCAACAGGAAUCAAUGGAAAGUCCAGUGCAACAAUUAUAAAUAAUAUUAUAUAUUGUUUAUUGAUUUACAGCACCCUAAAUGAUUUUGUUCCUCCAGGACAUCUGCACCAGGUGGUUUGUGAAGAAAGCACGGAGGACCAUCAGACUCCAGCCACCCCAACCAUGGACUGCUUUCACCGUUACCAUCAACAGCACCCGCACCAGCAGACUGCGAGACAAGUUCUUUCCACAAGCAAUCAGACUGAACUGAACUCGUACCAUUAACAGCACACACACCCCACCAACCUCUUAUGCACUGCACUCCAUCACUUACACUGACUGGACUCUGACUCACUAUUAUUCCGCACCCUGACAAUCUGUUUGCACUAAUUCAUACUGUACUGCACUGCAAAGGUAUAUGUGUACUGUGAUUAUUGUGUUUUAUUAUUGUUUUAAUUUCGUGCUCUCU